CCGAUCCCAAACCCGAGCUUCCUCCUCACUUCCCCGAUCUCCCCUUCUUCCUUCUCUGCUCUCUCUCUCGCGGACGAAUCGGAGGCGACGGGAGUGGAGCUUCUCCUUUGGCGAUCCUUCCUCUGCCGGCAUCGACACCACAAGCUCAGAUCCGGUCGGUGGUUCUCCUCUCCAGACUAUAAUCGGCCGAGGAGUUGCUGUUCGGCGGAUCUUGCGGCUGAUCACCGAAGGGGCUGUGGCUAGGGCACGGUGAAGGACCAGAUCUCGCGUCGACCCCCAUCCAAUCGUCCACCGAAGCUUGGAGAGGUGCCCUAGUUCGGAUUUGUGCCACUCGAUUCGCCGGCGUGGGUCUUGGAUUCCCUUCCUUGUUGAUUGUUGAUUUGAGGAUCAGAGGAAUCUUCGAUACUCCGCUUCACGGAUUGGAUCGGGUGACAUUUUCUAGAGACGAUCAAUUGAGGAAGCAUUGGGUUGCUGUGGAUCAAUGAUUUAGGUCACGGGAUUGAUUUCCAGUGAGGUUCUUACUUGAUUCCAGCAUCCAGUAGCUGAGAUUGAGGAUUCUGAUUCGAGACAGACG